CAACCGAAGUCCUCGCUGCUGUUGAAGGUUGAAAGUUGAAAGUUGAAACCGUUCGACUAAUACCCACUACCCAGUGGCCAGUGUGCCAAUCAAGUCCUCAGAACUCAGCAGCCCAAAGCUAUUACAUAAAACAAAUCUUUCAAGCGAGGCGUGCGAACGUUAAGUCGUUAAGUCUUUGUCUUCCUCAACCGAAGUCAACGCUGCUGUUGAAACCGUUCGACCUAUACCCAGUGGCCAGUGUGCCAAUCAAGUCCUCAGCCGGUGCAGCUAUGGAAGGAAGUUGAUAAUGAACUAUAGAAGGAAGUCGAUGAUGAGAGUCUGUGGAAAGCUCUAGAACCCUUAUCAGCAGCUUUAUCUGCGGUGUCAUCAUUAAAGCUGAUGAUACUAUGGAAGGAUUCCUUCGAUGAUGAGAGUCUGUGGAAAGCUCUAGAAUCCUUCACAGCAGCUUUAUCUGCUCCUGAUAUGACAUUUUGGUCCUCCGGCCGGUUACUGACAAGUAGCGGUGACUCAAGGUCCUCAUCAUGGCCAAACUUAUGUAUAGAAUCCAAGUCCUCCUCCUUUACCAUCCGGACAAUGUUUGCUUGUUGAAGUUUUGCAUCAUUCAUAGAGUUGUCGAUCUCACCAUCCAAAUUUACACUUAUGGAAACAUGAUCAGGUGAUGCUGAUAAAAUUUCCACGCUUGCCGUAAUUUGUUGAUGCUGCAAAAUAUGAAUUAGAAGAUAUAUUAAUAUGAUAACUCAACUCCAGGGCAGAUAUAAGCUUCUCCUAAAGAUAAGUCAAAAGUCUCAUAUUGGCUGCUCCUAAGACUUGGGGGAAUUCAAAUCAGCCUGUGAUCAAUGUGAAAUCAGGCAAGCAGACUACAAUAACUGAGCAUAUUGGCCUCUUUUUGGUCUAGAACAAAAUUUGAAAAAAAUGGGGACUAGCUACACCUUUGAUCCAUUGAGAGAUACAAUUGUAACAGAUCAAGAUUCCCUAGAAUUUUAGGGUAUUCUACCCAAGUGUAAAUGGUAAUUAGAUAAUAAAGUGAUAAAUCAUAAAUGUUAAUAUGGCAAUAUCUUCACUAUUUAAUUUGAAAACAAUGAUUGUGAGGUAUUCUAAAAUCCCCUGUAAACUACUCUUAUCAUCAUGAAAGCUCUUGUUUUAGCUAAAAUCCCAUAGUGAUCUUUUUUCGCAUGUUCGUUCAAUCGUUUGUGUUUAAAAGCUCAAUAAUAAUGCAUGCAGCUUGAUAUUAGUUGCCAAAGAGGCUUCAAAUAUAUUGUAACAGGUUUCACUUGAUUACCUCCUCUCCUGUGUCAUCAAAGCUGACGCAACUAUAGAAGGAAGUCGAUGAUGAGAGUCUGUGGAGAGCAAGAGAACCCUUCGCAGCAGCUUUAUCUGCUCCUGACAUGAGGCUUGUCUGAGUUUGGCUCGAUCUGUAUUUGUGUAAAGAAAUGGACGAGAGCAAACGGUGUGCUCUCUGGCCAUGGGAAAGACUCUGAAGACCAUAUUGAUAUAUAUAUUUGUAUGGCUUCAACUUUCACGCUUUAGAAUCUUCGUGGAAGCUACGUCCAUUUCUGCUGAAAAUUGCCGCAUUGGGCGUCUCUAAUUCUCUAAACAUUUCCAUCGGUCUCCCGCAUGUGUGAAGGUCGUCCAUGACUGAAAAUGAGAGAAUAUAUGGGAUUUUUACCGUC